GAUGAACGCUGGCGGCGUGCCUAAUACAUGCAAGUCGAGCGAACGGACGAGAAGCUUGCUUCUCUGAUGUUAGCGGCGGACGGGUGAGUAACACGUGGAUAACCUACCUAUAAGACUGGGAUAACUUCGGGAAACCGGAGCUAAUACCGGAUAAUAUUUUGAACCGCAUGGUUCAAAAGUGAAAGACGGUCUUGCUGUCACUUAUAGAUGGAUCCGCGCUGCAUUAGCUAGUUGGUAAGGUAACGGCUUACCAAGGCAACGAUGCAUAGCCGACCUGAGAGGGUGAUAGGCCACACUGGAACUGAGACACCGUCCAGACUCCUACGGGAGGCAGCAGUAGGGAAUCUUCCGCAAAGGGCGAAAGCCUGACGGAGCAACGCCGCGUGAGUGAUGAAGGUCUUCGGAUCGUAAAACUCUGUUAUUAGGGAAGAACAUAUGUGUAAGUAACUGUGCACAUCUUGACGGUACCUAAUCAGAAAGCCACGGCUAACUACGUG
rnacentral:rRNA from 1 species